UAAAUGGAAAAGGCAGGACUCUCGAGAAUGAUGAGAGACACUCAGUGUGAAAUCAACAAAAUGGCAUAGAAAGAGCCUCCCAGUAUAACCGGAUUUUUUUUUAUGGGAUCACACUGACCUUCCAGGUCAGUGGGAAGAGAAUGGAUUCUGUGAUCAUGACUAGCCAUUUAAUAAAGCUAGCCUUUCUAUGUCAGUGGCUCCUACAGAGCUCCGUAAGAUGUCAGGCAAGGAACAGAGAAAAAUAAAUAAAUUCCAGCCUGUCAUCUAAGCUGAUCUCUAUCAUAUUCGUCUCCUCCACUCUACUGUGAGACAUGAAGAAGGACUGUGACCCCUUCUUUAAGACAAAUGCAGCUUGAAAGAAACCCUACCCAGGUCACCCUGCCGCCUGAGAGUUUGGGAUCUUGCAUAAAAUAAGCCUAUGUUCUUUCUCCACCUUCCAAGAAGUCGUUGGCAAUCUGUAGCCAUGUACAUUGGGAAAGGAAUCAAGUUGGAUGCUUUGCCUGGGGCCCCCGGAUCCUCUGCCUUGCAGAGUUCCCUCCCUUUGGUCUGAAGCCUUCCAGCCGGGGCUUUAAUUACCCCCACACCUUCUCGAUCUCUGUAUUUAUCAGGAUUGUUUGACUUGCGCGUGACUGAAACUCAACUCAAACCAUCUUUAUUUACCAACUCACAUACCUGGGAAAGAUACCAGGUUUAUCACAGAAUCUAAAGAAGAGCUGCAGAGAUCGGAGUCUUGAAAUUGGAACUGCAAUACAACCCUACCAGAGACUUUUCACUUUCUUUCUUUCUCCUUUUCUCACCUUGGCUUCUUUCUGAGAAAGGUUUCCUCUCUGCGAUAGCCAGCAUCCCCAAAUGCGCAUUCUCCUGGGUUAGCAAACACAGCCCUUAAACCACCUUCUCCAGGGGCGCCUGGGUGGCUCAGUCGGUUAAGCGUCCGCCCUCG